GGGCGGCUAGCUCAGCUGGUUAGAGUACGUGCUCGACACGCACGGGGUCGCUGGUUCGAUUCCAGUGCCGCCCA
rnacentral:tRNA from 1 species